rnacentral:lncRNA from 1 species
AUUGUCUUCAUUGAUCAUACAUUUAUUUACAACAGGGUUCAUAAAAUAAAUUAUUAACAAAAACGCCAAACGUAUAGGUGUGUGUGUGUGUGUGUGUGUGUGUGUGUGUGUGUGUGUGUGUGUGUGUGUGUGUGUGUGUCUACUCACACAAAACAUGCCUACUGUAUGAGACAGUAUAUCCACACACAUACUACUUUAUACAGUGUCAUGAAUUUAGUUUGGUGUUAUGAAUUGCAUUUUGGCAACAAGGGUAGUAGACAGGGAGGUUCGUGUAAUAAGACUGUAAUAAGUAUGUAAUUGCAUUGAGGAAAUGUGUUUUUGAAGGAAAAAUGAAAGGACGGAAGGAAGGAGAGAAAGAGGAGAAGGAAAGAAAAAUGGUUAGAAAUGCUAAAAGAAAGACAGAGAAUGGCAGCACACCACCUGGCAUUAUGUUAAAGGUUACCAUAGAAGAAGUUGAAAGUCAGACAGCCAUGCCAACAACAGUGGUUGGCUAUACAAAGUCAUGGCAGGUUUUUUCACCUGAUUUGGAAAUGCAGCUUGUUCAGUAUAUUACCGGGUCAGCUGACAUUUAUUUUGGUCUGUCGCCAAGUGAGGUCAGAAAACUUGCCUACCAGUUUGCUGUGGCACACCAGCUGAAGUUCGCGCCAAUGUGGGCAGAAAAAGAAAAGGCCAGCUCGGAGUGGUUUACAGGCUUCUUAAAGCGGCACCCAACGCCGUCGCUGAGAAAGCCAGAGGCAACUAGCCUUGUCAGGGCAAGUAGCUUCAACAGAGAACAUUUUAACGCUUUCUUCGACAAUGUAGCAGAAGUGCUACAGAGAUAUCAAUUCGGAUCAGGAGACAUAUGGAAUGUCGAUGAAACUGGGGUGACCACAGUACAUAAACCUGACAAAGUGGUGGGCAGACUGAAAGGGGAACCCUCUUCACACUGGCCUUUGCUGUCUCUGCCACAGGGAAUAGUAUAUCUCCAUAUUUUAUAUUCCCCCUGUCAACUUCGCAAUCAUUUCUUGAUC